GAAAUUCCAUGGCCCAUCGAAGAGCCUCAAAAGAGAAUUUCUUUGAGAAGCUUGUAUAAGUCUUCCUGCACCUCUGAGAGAGAUUGUCUUCUCAGCAAGACUACAGUCCUCCAGAGUCAAUUUUCCUAAUAGAGACCUCCUGGAUUAUGUUGGACAAAUGUCAUGUCCCCUGGCUCUCUCCAUCUUGUAAUGAAAAUGAGACCUAUUGCCAACUACACCUUGCUGAUUGCUUCCUACCUGCUGCUAAGGAUAAUUUGUGCAGUGUAAAUGAAGACUUCAGCAGUUGGUGAAAGAAAAAAAAAAAGGUACAAGAAAGGACUGAUGUUCAACAUUUACAAAACAGAGCCAAUAUAGACACAGUUCUGCUUAGCUGAAAAUGUGUAAAGUAUAUGAAAGAUCUUUAUGUUUUCACAACCUUAAUUAUAC